rnacentral:rRNA from 1 species
CGACGGCGGUGUUUGGCACCUCGAUGUCGGCUCAUCACAUCCUGGGGCUGAAGUAGGUCCCAAGGGUAUGGCUGUUCGCCAUUUAAAGUGGUACGCGAGCUGGGUUUAGAACGUCGUGAGACAGUUCGGUCCCUAUCUGCCGUGGGCGCUGGAGAACUGAGGGGGGCUGCUCCUAGUACGAGAGGACCGGAGUGGACGCAUCACUGGUGUUCGGGUUGUCAUGCCAAUGGCACUGCCCGGUAGCUAAAUGCGGAAGAGAUAAGUGCUGAAAGCAUCUAAGCACGAAACUUGCCCCGAGAUGAGUUCUCCCUGAGACUUAGAGUCUCCUGAAGGAACGUUGAAGACGACGACGUUGAUAGGCCGGGUGUGUAAGCGCAGCGAUGCGUUGAGCUAACCGGUACUAAUGAACCGUGAGGCUUAACCUU